CAUCUGGCUUAUGUCUUGUAUUGGAUGAUGGGAAUUUAAACCUCUUCCAGAGUAUCAAUUGGAGGGCAAGUCUGGUGCCAGCAGCCGCGGUAAUUCCAGCUCCAAUAGCGUAUAUUAAAAUUGUUGCAGUUAAAAAGCUCGUAGUUGAAUUUCUGCUGCAUUGCAUCUUCUUUUUGAUGAGUUGGUGUAUUGUGGCUUAUUUCGGAUGAUACUUGUAUUAUCCGGAUGAUUACUUUGAGAAAAUUAGAGUGCUCAAAGCAGGCUUUUGCCUUGAAUAGUUUAGCAUGGAAUAAUAAAGUAGGACUUUGGUUCUAUUUUGUUGGUUUUAGGUACCAAAGUAAUGGUUAAUAGGG
rnacentral:rRNA from 1 species